UGUUUGGUGGUGUCCCUGCCCUCCACACCAGUUCUCUCGCUCUAGUGCUCAUUGUUUCCUGCCUUGUGCUUCUGUUGCCUUCAGUUGGCUCUUUCCCCUGGAGGUGUAUGGUUAGUUGACUGGGUUCCUUCCUCCUUGUUGUAAAGUUUCACUACCCUAAGGUCUUUCUUUUGUUUUUUUUUUCUUCUUCACUGCAUUUCAUCAGUUUUGGUGUAUUUUUUUUUUAAUUUUGCUUUUGUUUCAGAUAUUUUCUGAAUCCUUUUCCUGUUUACCAUUGGUUGGUUAAGAAUGAGGUGUUUCAUUUUCCCUUAUUUUGGGGUGUUUAUUUUUCUUCUGCAAUUGGCUUCUGUAUUUAUUCCAUUGUGCACAGAAAGAAAAUUGGGAUCGUUUUUAGCUUCUGAAACUGAAUGUUAAGAUUUGUGACCUAAUGUGUCUCAAAUGAAAAAAUAGACAUGUGUAGUACCUUAGUGGUAACUGUCCUGGUGUCAGUCUUCCACAACCAAAAAACAAACAAAAAAAAAAAGGCAGGGAGUUGGGGGGCGGGGCUGGCAGUUUUGUUCAGUGGUGAAGCACCCGGGUUCAUUGUCCAGUACCAUAACUAAAUUUUAUGAAUUUUUAUGUGAAUUGUCUACCUUCAGCCCCAACUUCCAGUUGGUUCUGCACAGACCUCUUUUUCCUAUGGACUGCUUUGGCUGCACAGUGUCCUGCAGCACAGUCUCUGAACACAGUGACUCUGAGCAUCCUGACUCCUGUUUCUUUCUUUCUUAGAAAUUGAAAUCAGGCCCUUCUACCAUUGAGUUAUAUCCUCAAUCCUUGUUGUCUUGUUUUUUUCUUUUUUAUAGUUAGAGUCUUGCUUCAUUGCUGAGGUGAUAUUGAACUUGUAAUUCUCUUGCCUCUUCCUCCUGGGUCAGGAUUACAGCUGUGUACCACUGUGGCUGGUACUAUGUUUCUUGUGUUUCCUGCAGGGGAGAAAUCUGUACAGAUUUAGGCAGUAUCUUGUCUUAGGAAAAUGAAAAUAAAACACAACUAGGAGGUAUAACAUUCUCAGAAAUACCAGAAUAUAUGAAAACACGGGGAAAGCAAGCUCAGUUUCUCCCUAUAUACCCUCUGCACACAGAAAGCUUCUGUGAUCCCAAAUAAGUGAGGGUUUUUGCCCUUAUGCCAAGAAUGCAGUUCUUCAGAGGGCACUUGUCAUUUCACCUAAUUCAGACACUGUGUAGAUACAUGGUGGAUCCCACCAGCUGAGGUCUCUGUCCCACAAAAUGGGCCCCUUUUCAGAGGCCUGCAAAAGUAUGGCCCAUGAUUCAGAAUGACUUUCUAUAAAUGGGGCUUCCUUCAUCCCCUCACAUUCAAAAAGUGGUUAGACUGCUUCCUAAAACUGUCAAGGACUUUACUUUCAUUUGCCUUGUGGUAACACCUGUUCAGAAGAGACAGGUGAACACGCACAUGGAAGAGGUGCAUAGGCCAAGGUGUGGGACAAAGGACGUGGAGCUCACAUGACUUUGCGUGGUGCGCCACCCUCCAGGACCCUCCACCCACGCGUUGAUCUGAACACCCUUUCACCCCGUCCUGUUGAGAUUUUAUGGAGGCUCCUUUAUGUAGGCAGGCUUGAUUACAUCCUGGGUGAUGGUGAUCAGUUGGGACUUUAGUCCCUCUCUCUUCCCUGGAGGUGGAUGGCAGGACUGUGUUACAACUGCCUCUCCUGCCUGUGGCUUUGUGGGGAGAAGCCUCGUCGUGAAGCUCUCUAGGGGGCUUUGGCACCUGUCGUGUCACUAGCACACAACUCUUUCUUAGCUCUCCAUGGAUUCCAGGUGAGCUCCACAUCAGCAGACAGACAGAUACCAAAUGUGUGUUUACAGCCUCACAGUGCAGCUCUUCUCACUUGAAUCAGUUGCAUGCUUACACUUCUCCUCCCUUCUCAUUUCUCUUUGUUUACUUCUUUGCAGUAAUGGGGUUGAACCUAGACCCCCUCUGCCAUUACAUCCCUACUCCUAUGUUCUUCAUUCUCAGAGAGGAUCUUGCUAUGUUUCCCAGUCCCACCUCCGAUUUACAAUGUUCCCACCUCAGCCUGGGGAUAGCUGGGAUACAAGCAUGUGCCACCAUGCCUGGGUUCUGUGGUUUACAUUUUGGAUGAAGAUUGUAACUGUCCCCAGUGCCCCAUUGUGAAGCCUGUUUUAAUUUCAGGGUCCACUGACAUUCAGGGAUGUGGCCAUAGAAUUCUCCCAGGAGGAGUGGAAGUGCCUGGUUUCUGCUCAGAGGGCUUUGUACAGGGACGUGAUGCUGGAGACCUACAGGAACCUGGUCUCCCUGGGAAUGUGUCCUUCAGACCCGAGUGUCCUCUCCUGGUUGGAGCAAGGGAGGGAGCCCUGGACUGUGAAUGGCCCAGAGGAAAUAUCCAGGCCUGCAAAUGAUUGGGCAUUUGUGGAGUGUGUGAAAGCAGAAGAACCGGAAACAAACAUUCCUACAGCUCCGUACAAAUGUAAUGAGCUUGAAAAAUCCUUUAAUCAAGAAUCACACCCUACUAUACAUCAGAAAAUCUGUACUGGAGAGAAACAAUUUACUUGUGAAAUAUGUAGCAAAGUCUUCAAUAAAAAAUCUUAUCUUACAAGUCAUCUUAGAAUUCAUACUGGAGAGAAACCUUACAAGUGUAAUGAGUGUGGGAAGAUGUUCAGUAGAAGUUCACACCUUGGAAAACAUCGGAGAAUCCACACUGG